UUAAAAGUGGUAUCCUUCUUCUCCCUUAGAACCGAAAUUGGAAGAAAGGAGAAAGCUUGGUUUUAUCUCCCAUGAUCGGCCAUUGAAUUUAAGGUAUACAUGCAUGCUCUUUAAUAAUUUUCAUGGAUUUUUCAUUUAUCGAGCUUAGUUUAUUCAACCCACUUAUUUAAUUUUAGUAUUGAAGAGAAUUACUACUGAAGUUAUCAUUAUUGAAUUUAUAGAGUAAAACCAAGGAAUUGUUGAGAAUUAAGCUUAGUUAUUAUAAGUUUAUGUUAGAAAUGUGGUGGAAGUGGUUGAUUCAAGUUUUAAUUAAGGUUAUAUGAUUAACUAAGUGGUAUUAAGGAUUUAAUUGUAAGGGAUGAAAAUUUUGAGGUUUGUUAAUAAAUAAUUUUGAUUCGAUCGAGUCAAUAAUGAGAUACGAGUACCAUAAAGGGACUUAAUUGUAAAGAAUUUAAUUAUGUUUGGUGUUGGUUGUGCCUAUUUUAAAUAUGUACUAGUAUUAUUUUUGUAAACGAAUUAUCAAACGUAACUAAAGACAAGGUGAGAACACGACGAAUAAUGAAAUUGAUUUGGGCUAAUAUACUUUCUUUUCAUCACAUAAAAUAAUUAAAUAUUUGACUUGUGGAAUUAUUAACGUUAGUUGUUGUUUUGAUUAUAAUUAAUAAUUUUGACUACAUGUUUUAAUGGAAAUUAUUGGAUUAUGAUAAUUAAGCGUACAUGUACAUUAUCACUUGGAAGAUAAUAUAUAUAGAAUUAAUUUAAGCACAAGGAGUAAAUAGAAAAAAAUAUUAAUCUUAUGUAUUAUGAGCGGUAAGUGUUGAAUUUAUGUAUAUAUCUAAGUUUGUGCUCUCAUGUUUGAUUUUCAAUAUAUAUAUAUCUUCUAUACUUAGAUCAAUAAGUAAUUGGAAUUAGAAAGAUAUCAAAAGUGAACAUGUUUAAAAGGCAUGUAUAUCCUUAACUCCUUGACACGUAAUGUGUUUAACGAACGUGUACAUGCUUGUUAUAUGAUUUUUGAUUGCUAUCUUUGUUGGAUAUAUAUUUUGUGAUACAUUCGGACAAUAUUGAUGUCAAACAUUAUUGAGAUGCAUCAAAAAAUAUAAAUAUUAGUGAUUAUGAAAUCGUAUUAUGAUAAUGGUAUGUUGCUUUGAUUAUAAUGUGUUUUGAUGAAUUACUAAUAGUGAAUAAUGGCCUAUUAACCUUGUCGAAUAGAGUUACGAGUAUAGUUGGCACACCAUAAGAUUCGUUUUGAUAGGUGGGAGAUUCAACGCUAUGCAUGCACGUAUUAUAUUGUGAUAGUUCUCUAAUACCCUAGGGAUUGAGAAUGUAUCACCAACUCAAAUACCCCUAGCAUAUUCUGGUAUGAUUGGUGGGAUCGGUGCAUUUAUGCCCGAUUAGCACUUUGAUACAUAUACUGGUGUGUUGGUGGACCAAAUCUGAGUCAGUUAAUAGGGGACAAAACGAGAAAAUGAAUGUGUAAUAUAAAUGAUAAUUAAAUGUGAUUAAAAUGUGAAAUUUUAUGCUAAGUAUAUGUGUUAUUGAAAUGGAAAUAUAAUGACAAUAAGAGAUAUGGUUUGAUAUGAUUAAAUAGAUGCAAAUACUUUAGAGGUGUAUUGAAACUUCGAUAUGUGUAAGUAAACAUUACAUGGUUAUGUGGUAAAUGACUAUAGAUUACCUGGAGAAUUUCAUGGUUCAUGUGAAUAUUUGUUUAUAUGGAUAUUGAUAAUGAAAUGGUUUUGAUUAAUAUGUAUAUUCAUGUUACUUGACUUAUUUAUUUGAUUUAUAUUAUGUUAUAAUUAAAUUUGAAUUAUAUUAGCUAAAGUAAUCAAUAUUCAACAUAUGGUUAUGUUUGUUUUUGUGCGCAAGUCUCAGAUUAAUUUUAAUAGAUUGAGGUUGUAAAGCAUUCAAGGUUAGUGACUCAACUCAACUCAUGUUUGUACAUGUUGUAUGCACAUCUAAUUAAUGGCAUAUACCUAGGUUGAGUCUCAUUAUUGAAUGCUUAUUUUGUUGGCUUUGGUAUGUUCUGGUAUUUGAUCUUAUGUAGUUUAUGAAACCAAUUUCAAUUCUUGAUUUGGCAAGUUAAAAUGUUUGAUUAUAAGAGUUCACUUAUAUGAUUGACUUUGUUAGCCUGUGGUGGUUUUUAAAUGCCGUGUAUAAAUAUGUCUAGAAUGUUAAUUUGAAGCAUAAGUGAUUGGUAAUAAGUUGGUAUAAGGUAGGUGUGAAAUUGUUAGUAAGUUGUAAGCUUGUAAAUGUUCAUUUUAGGUUAUUUUACGUUAGUGUCUUGAGACAGUAUGAACAUAUCCUGAUGUCACAAGAACAAAAAUGGCUGUUUUGUAUUUUUUUGAGUUUGAGUUUGAGUCUUGAGACACGUUGAACAUGUCUCAAGACAAAUAUUGCUAGGACUCGAGACAAGAAUCUUUUAGUCUUGAGACAUAUUGUACGUAUGUGAUAGUAGAAGCUUGGAUUCAAAUUCUUACUCCUACCUCUAUCCCGUGUAAACUAGGGAUUUAAUCAUUAAAGAUAUUUGAAAUCUAUAAUGCAUGUACAUGGAUAGUAGUGAUGAUUGAUUUGAAAUUGUCUGAUGUUCACAUAUUAAAGUUGCGGAAAUUUAUUUAGUCUAAAUUACUUUGGCAAAAUAAUGUGACGUCAGGCAUUCAGAUUCGACGAUCGAGUCGAGCGUGGGGUGUUAUAUGACUAGGUGCAGUGGUAACAUUCUAGGAAUGUGAUUCUGUAGCUUUCUACAAUCCCGUUUAGUGUGAGCCAACUCAUGGCAAUAAUAACACUCAAUGUUCCCUGAAACAGUAUUGCGGCCAUCGACUGUUUUCUCUUCAUUUCCCCUUCCUCUACGAGUCCGCGCGCUUUCGGACAAAAUCAUGGUUGCCUCCUUUAGUGACAAGUAUCAUAUUUUUCGGUAUAGACAUAAUGGCCUAUGUACAAAGAACUCUGGAGAAGGCAUCUUGAAGAGGCGUAAUUUCCCCACAAGAAAGAAUCUGAGAUUUCGCAGCCUCAAACUCAGAAGGAAGACCAGCUAAACAACUCAUCACCGCCAUUUGCUCUCAUUGAGCUUGCUGCACUUUGAUGUCUAAACUGAAUGGUAACAACAUAUUCAGUUCUUCAUAAGUUUUCUUGAGGUCCAUAAAUAAGCAGUGAUGGACGUGGCCUCUUUUUCAGCACGAUAAAAGGCUUUGCACACCUCAAACAUGCGCGAGAUGUUCCCUUUGCCAGAAUACAAAAAUUCCAAAUAAUCCAUUAGACUGUUAACAAUUCUGAUAAAAUUUUAAAAGAAUGAUACUAAUAAACCUAAAUUAAGAAACUAAACUCUUUUCCAUUCUCAAUCAAAUUAAACGCUUUUUUUUUCACUCCACUAUUUAAUUAGCUCAUCCAAAG
rnacentral:lncRNA from 1 species